CGAACGCGAAAGGCCCCUUCGGGGGCCGAGUAGAGUGGCGCACGGGUGAGUAACACGUGGAUAAUUUGCCUUCGGGUGGGGAAUAACAACCGGAAACGGUUGCUAAUACCGCAUAAUGCAGCGGCAUCUAUGAUGACAGUUGUUAAAGCGGGGGAUGGCUUCGGCCACCUCGCGCCUGAAGAGAAGUCCGCGGCAGAUUAGCUAGUUGGUAGGGUAAUGGCCUACCAAGGCGACGAUCUGUAGCCGGCCUGAGAGGGCGGUCGGCCACACUGACACUGACAUACGGGUCAGACUCCUACGGGAGGCAGCAGUCGGGAAUUUUGGGCAAUGGGCGAAAGCCUGACCCAGCAACGCCGCGUGAAGGAUGAAGUUUCUCGGAAUGUAAACUUCACAAGAAUGGGAAGAAUAAGUUGAAGCUAAUAUCUUCAACGAUGACGGUACCAUUUGUAAGCUCCGGCUAACUCCGUGCCAGCAGCCGCGGUAAUACGGGGGGAGCAAGCGUUGUUCGGAUUUACUGGGCGUAAAGGGCGCGCAGGCGGCGCCGCAAGUCACUUGUGAAAUCUCCGGGCUCAACUCGGAACGGUCAAGUGAUACUGCGGUGCUAGAGUGCGGAAGGGGCAACUGGAAUUCUUGGUGUAGCGGUGAAAUGCGUAGAUAUCAAGAGGAACACCUGCGGCGAAGGCGGGUUGCUGGGCCGACACUGACGCUGAGGCGCGAAAGCUAGGGGAGCGAACGGG
rnacentral:rRNA from 1 species